UUAAGUAGGAAGAAAAACAGGUUAUAGAAAAGCUUUCUCUUUCGAGAUAGGUAUGCAUAGACAGGGCUGCGUCUGGAUACUUUUCUCUUCGUCUCACGUAGAAAGUUGUACUCCGUGACGGCAUACCAUAAACUAAAUACUAAGAAGGCAUUGCAACGAAGCGCUCUUCUUGUCACAGCUAUGGACAGACACUCCUGCAUUUGGAUAUUCGCUUUUCUCCGGAUUUCAUGUGUAUUUGCAGGAAGCUGCGAAUGGCGUUACUAUGAGCACUACAAACAAAAACGUUGCGAACCUAUACUUGGAGAACAAGGAUGUCCUAUAAGGUUCGAAUGCCCACCUUUGUCUGACGAAACUAACAAAACGUGUUUUCACAACGGCAAAAGCUACAACGACGAGGAAGUCAUCAAAGAUGCCGGGCCCUGUGCUAGCUGUUCAUGUGUAGUAGAUAGCGUCAAUGGUGGUUAUAUAGCUUGCUGGCCGGUGGACUGUCCGAUGUUGGAAACUCGCAAAAAACAUUGCUAUAUGGGUUAUAAACCUGGAAGUUGCUGUCCUGAAGAAAUAUGUCAUAAAACUUGCGAGCACAAUGGAAUUACGUACGAGCUUGGAGAAAUCAUUAAAACUAAAGAUCCUUGUCAACGCUGCAUCUGCACAAUCAAAUGGGAAGGAGAAUAUGGAUACGGAUGUGAAAAGACCAAAUGCCUAAAUGGCAUAAAUGCUUAUAAAAUAAGAAAAGGAUGUUUGCCUAUCUAUGAAGAAGAUGUAUGUUGUAUGAUCGAUAUGCAUUGCGAUGGUAUCCACGGUGCAGAACCUGUUGCCUUCCCAAAGUCAAACACAGGUAUUUUAUUUAGUCUACUUUUUCCACUACUUUAUAAAGAACAGAAGUAAAUUUGACAGCACAUGCUAAAUAAAUCAAGAAUAAAUUUGUACAUUUGCUUUAACUAACGGCAUCUACGGUGCAGACACUGUUGUCUUUCCAAAGUCAAACACAGAUGAUCUUUGCCGUUAUCGAGGAAGAUACUACAAGCGUGGAUCUACAGCAUACCUAACUGAAGAUUUAUUUAAACAGAUUGAAUGCAGAUGUGAGGUACCUCCCGACUUCAAAUGUAUCAAGAAAUCUUCCAA
rnacentral:misc_RNA from 1 species